UAGGGAAUCUUCCACAAUGGACGAAAGUCUGAUGGAGCAACGCCGCGUGAGUGAAGAAGGGUUUCGGCUCGUAAAACUCUAGUUGUUAAAGAAGAACAUAUCUGAGAGUAACUGUUCAGGUAUUGACGGUAUUUAACCAGAAAGCCACGGCUAACUACGUGCCAG
rnacentral:rRNA from 1 species